GACAAAUUCCCCCCCAAAAAGGUAUACAUAUACAGGGCUUGUAGUUUAUAUCAGAUGGUAUUUGGUCACAGUUCAACCACCACUCUGAUAGAGGUCACUAUCUAACAACUAUUAGCAAUGUUUGCAGAUAACACUUCAUAGUAUACAACUCAUGUAUAAUUGGGGUUUUAUUAAUGCAUAAUUCAUCACUAUUACAAUGGCUAAAAUACUGCAUUGUUGUACUCUUUUAUGCAUCCGAGUUUGGUCAACUACAUGUGAUAUUAAAAGAGACAAAAGACAGAGUUGCAGACUAAGUUCCUUUCAGCCAGAUUCAUACUGUGCUUUGUGCUUAAAGAGAGUUGAUAAAAUGCACCAAUCUUAGGAGGUAUUUGUGUUUGUUGUAGUAAUCACAUUAUAUUUUACGUCAAACAAUCUGACCUUAUUGAAGCAGCAAUUACUAUACAUGGUCCUCUAAAGUCCUCAAAGAACAGCUUCACACUGCUCACAGGGACCCGCAAGAAUCUAUGAAACAAUAUGAAUGUAGGCAAAGAGUUCCUGGUAAAAGAAACACAGAGUGAAGGGGGAGGAGCCAAGCUUCUUUCAGAACAUUUGAUUGUAGCAGUAAAGGAAGAUACACCUGUUCACCUCACAAGACAACAGAGGGCGGACUGAGUGGACUGCUCUGUUUUCUGUACUAUCAUCUGUAUAAAAACUGUGAAAAUGAACGUCUUCUUGGUUGCUGUUCUUAUCUUCUCCAAUUUCUCCCUCUGUGUAAAAAUUCAACAGCUUCCAUUUUUAAUCAGCCAUGAAGGAGACAAGAUUGUUACUUUGCAGUGUGAACAAGAUGAUGAUCAAUAUAACUACAUGUACUGGUACAGACAAAGCAGCGGUGGGGAAAAAAUACAGAUGGUAACAUAUUCUUAUGGUAAAGAUUCAUGGGACACUGAAGCUCCUUUCAACAAAUCCAAGUACACCAUGACCCGGUCUACAUUGCUUAAAUCCUCUCUGGAGAUACACUCUGCUGAAGCCGGAGACUCAGCUGUGUAUUACUGUGCCUCCAUGCACUGUGACUCUGGUGGUUAUGAAGCUUUCUUCGGUGGAGGAACAAAACUGACUGUUUUGGAAAAUGGCCGUAAGGCAAAAGCACCAACAGUGAAAGUGCUUCCACCUUCGCCAAAAGAAUGUCGCAAGCAGAAAUACGAGCACAGGAGGAAGACCUUAGUUUGUGUGGCCACUGGAUUCUACCCAGACCAUGUCAGUGUAUUCUGGCAGAUUAAUGAGAAGAAUGUCAUCAAGGGUGUGGCGACGGACAACACUGCCCUGCUGAAAGAAGGCACUUACAGCAUCACCAGCAGGUUGAGGGUCUCUGCCAAUGAUUGGUACACACCUGACAGUCAUUUCACCUGCAUUGUCAGCUUCUUUGAUGGAAAAGAAACCAAAUCUUAUCGGGAUUCAAUUCUUGGUGAAAAAGCUAAAGAGGUGACGAUGACAAGAGGGAAAUAUUUGAUGAUCACAAAUAAUGCCAAACUCUCCUACGGUGUUUUCAUCGUCAAGAGCAGCGUCUAUGGAGCCUUUGUUGUGUUUCUGGUGUGGAAGCUUCAGGGAAAGCACAACUGAGAGCUGAGCUGCAGCCUGAACAAGUGAACUGUCAGAGAUCGAUUCUGUUAGUUUCUGUAAAUAAAGAUUGAGAACAUUGAACUUAUAUUUCUUAUAUUUCCACUAUGUUGUGUGUUACAAAGCAUUCGCGCUCUUAAUAGUAAUUCUGCACACAGUAGAUGAACAGUUUCAGGCUUAUUUUUGUUACAAUCUUAAAGCUAUAACUGGCAUAAAAAUACUUUGGCAUCACGUUUUUAUAAAUAUGUCUGUAUAAUGUGUGUUAGUGUGUGGUUGUAAACUGCUUGUUUGCUACAUUUUCUUUUCAAUAAAAGUAUUUCAGAGAAUCUUGAAAAGCUUUUGCUUUCAUUUAUUCAAUAAAUGUUGAGUGUCCUACUGAGUUUUUAUAGUUUGUCCUACAAAUGAUUCUCAUGACAGAUUCAGGCAGUAAGACUUUAUUUACAUAGUGUUUAUCUAAACCAGAUUCAUCUUCAUAUCAGACACUAUUCAUACACAGUGGUUCAUUUCCAAAAAAACGAAAAAAAAGAAGAAAGAAGAGAGAAAGAAAGAGAGAAAGAGAGAAAGAAAGAAAGAAAGAGAGAAAGAAAGAAAGAAAGAAAGGAUUAGACAGAUAAGUUUGUCAGUUGCUCCAAAUUGUUGCUGAUUUGUAGUUUGGAUACUGACCCCCGUCACUGCUCUCACAUCUCAUCUUACACUCAACAUCACUUUUUCCAGAGAUAGUGUGAGGUAUUUUUAGCUGCUCGCCUUUCUGCCUGUUUUCUGAGAAAUCAGAUAUUUCAUGUUGAAAUACCUUAUCUCAAGAAAACAUCACAAGCUGCUUCAGUUGGGUCAUAACAAGGUUUUCCAAUGAGCAAACUGAAAGGUGACUGAAGUGUUGUUUUCUGGUAACAUUUAAGUGAUGAAUUAAAUCCAGACGACUAAUCUGAAUUAUAAUAUUCUUUCUUUUAUAAAUUAUUGAUUAAAGUGAGUUUAUCUGAGUUUUUUCCACUUUGCACAACUAAGUAUGACAGUUUAUAUUAUCUUUAUGAAUAAGGAUCAUCUUCCUUUACGUUAAAGACUCACAGUAAUAAAGUAAAUGUGAGAGUGUGAGUCUACCACAUAACAACAGGAAAUCAACGUUCUCAUCUGUGUACAGAAGGAGGUCAAAGCUGUUGUUGGUGAGGGAGACAAACCGGGGCUUGAAAC